GAUGAAGAACGUAGCGAAAUGCGACAAGUAGUGUGAAUUGCAGAAUUCAGUGAAUCAUCGAAUCUUUGAACGCACAUUGCGCCCCUUGGUAUUCCAUGGGGCAUGCCUGUUCGAGCGUCAUUUGUACCCUCAAGCUUUGCUUGGUGUUGGGUGUUUGUCCUCUCCUUUGCGUUUGGACUCGCCUUAAAGCAAUUGGCAGCCAGUGUUUUGGUAUUGAAGCGCAGCACAAUUUGCGAUUCUAACCGACUACACUUGCGUCCAUAAGCCUUUUUUAACUUUUGACCUCGGAUCAGGUAGGGAUACCCGCUGAACUUAAGCAUAUCAAUAAGCGGAGGA
rnacentral:misc_RNA from 1 species